rnacentral:rRNA from 1 species
AUACGGAGGGUGCAAGCGUUACUCGGAAUCACUGGGCGUAAAGCGCGCGCAGGCGGCUUGAUAAGUUGGAUGUGAAAGCCUACGGCUCAACCGUAGAACUGCAUCCAAAACUGUCAGUCUAGAGUGUGGGAGAGGAAGAUGGAAUUAGUUGUGUAGGGGUAAAAUCCGUAGAGAUAACUAGGAAUACCAAAAGCGAAGGCAAUCUUCUGGAACACUCCUGACGCUGAGGCGCGAAGGCGUGGGGAGCAAACAGGAUUAGAAACCCGGGUAGUCC